UAUCAUAUUCGUAUUGGAUAUCAUUCCAUAGCAUCAGGCAUCAGCUAAUCUAUAUGAUAAUAUAGAAGUUAAUACAUACGUAUAUAAUCACUUGAUUACAUUUAUAAUCUCCUUGCAAUUAUCACUGUUGAUCAUGAUUCUUAAUUAAUUUCGCUCCAACAAAACCCAACAAAUCUGCAACCAACCCUUGAAUAACCCUACCGUAUUUACCCUUUAUUUUAUUUUCCCUCAGUUUUUGUUUGUAGUUAUUGUUAAGCUCUUUUACACUGGCUCACAUGCAGCAAUGUGAUGAAAGGAGCGUGAAAGGACAAAGCUUUCUUCAGUUAUGCAGGACUUACAUGCUAAUGUUCAUCAAGAUCUGUUCUUAACAGCUUGAGCCAUCCGUUUAGAGAGGCCUGAUGGAUAGAUCACCUGUAACUGUAAGAUGUCUUAUCAACAGUAUUUCUCGGUUCAUUCUUCUAGUUUCCUGCCAGACCCAGACACCUAUGCCUAUUCAAAAGGAUUAUAGGAGCAUGGCUAUGGUUUUAAAGCAUUUGAAAACUGUGCUUGAUGAAAUUGUUGAUUACGAAGUAUCCUCCGCUGAAAUCCUAUAUAAAGAGUGUGAAGAACUUGAUUUGGCUGUUAAUGAGGCUCGGGAAUUUAUGGAGAACUGCUAUCCAAAGAUGAGCAAGAUUUGUUGUGUUCUAAAGAGUGAAGACCUGUUUAUUAAAAUCCAAGCGUCUUCACUAGAGAUUUGUCAUGUACUAUCUCGAUUGUUGCAAUCUUCUUCAUCCACUUCAAGUUUAACUAGCAUUCAGCACUGCAUGCAGGAGCUUCAAUGUUUGAAACAGGAAAUGAUAACAGAACAUAUGGAGGAGGCUUUGAGAAGUAAAAGAGAUGAUGUUGUUCCUUGCACUGAUCACCUAACGAAAAUUAUUGAAGCACUAAAUUUAACAUCGGAUGGGGAACUCUUAAAAGAAAGUGUGGCUGUGGAAAAGGAAAGAAUGAAUAUUCAAGUCAAUAAUGCUAAAGGGUACUUUGAUCAAAUCAACCAAAGUGUGGCUCUUAUCUCUGAAAUACGUAAUUGCUUGCUUAAAGUUGAGUGCUUGGAACCAGAAAGCGGGGUCCCAAUCCCUCCAUACUUCCGCUGCCCUUUAUCACUGGAACUCAUGUUGGAUCCUGUGAUUGUGGCUUCAGGGCAAACUUAUGAGAGGACUUCCAUUCAGAAAUGGCUUGAUCAUGGGUUGAAUAUUUGCCCGAAGACCCGCCAAACACUUGCUCAUACAAAUCUCAUUCCCAAUUACACUGUAAAAGCUAUGAUAGCAAAUUGGUGUGAGGAGAAUCAUAUAAGAGUUUCUAGUAACUCUAAGCAAACCGAUUGUACCUCAGCUCCAGUCCCAUCAGAUCAUUCUUUACUGUGCUCAGAUAGUUUCUGUUGCUCUCUGCAAAGUAGCAAUUCUACAUCAAAAUCAUCUCUUGAAGUCAGAAAUGGAUUUGAGAAGCACAGGGUUGAUUUCUCAUCUAAAUUAAGCGGAGAAACAGCUAAUGGAUUUCAAAUUGGGCAAACUGAAAGCUUUGAGCGCCCAUCCCAUGAAUUAUCACAUAUUCACAGCAGGAGUGAAUCAGCCUCAAGUGCCAUAUCCAGUAUUGAGUAUGUGUCUCCAGUAUCAAACGACAUAUCAACAAUGUCCACCAAGCAUGAAAAAGCUCCUGGUUUGUCACAAGAGAUCACAUCCAAAUGCCCAAAUAAAGAAUCAGGAUUUUCUCCUUGGUUGUCUGGAAAUCAAUUCCCCAUUCCUAAAGCAAAAGCUGACCGGGAAAGCAAUGCAAACCAUAACCACAGAACACACUCUGUUUCCUUUUUGGACUUUGGUUCUGAUUAUCUAGAUACAACUUCUCAUGUUAAUAAUUUGAUUGAAGAUCUUAAAAGCCAAUCAAAUGAAUUGCAGACAGCUGCUGCAGCAGAGCUACGGCUUCUUGCUAAGAACAAAAUGGAGAAUCGCAUCAUUAUAGGCCACUGUGGUGCUAUUGCUCCAUUGCUUUCACUACUAUACUCAGAAGUGAAGCUAACUCAGGAGCACGCUGUUACAGCCCUGUUGAACCUAUCAAUCAAUGAAGAAAUUAAAGUUAUGAUUGCUGAAGCGGGAGCACUAGAACCGCUUAUUCAUGUCCUAAAAUCAGGAAAUCAUGGAGCCAAAGAGAAUUCUGCAGCAGCGCUAUUCAGCCUCUCUGUUUUGGAAGAGUACAAGGCUAAAAUUGGCCGUUCCGGUGCUGUCAAAGCCUUGGUGAAUCUUCUAGCCUCUGGGACUCUAAGAGGGAAAAAAGAUGCUGCUACUGCUUUGUUUAACCUUUCAAUCCUUCACGAAAACAAGGCUCGAAUGAUUCAAGCUGGAGCAGUAAAGUAUCUUGUUGAGUUGAUGGAUCCUGCCACUGGGAUGGUUGACAAGGCUGUUGCUCUUCUUGCAAAUUUGUCAACAGUCGGGGAAGGGCGCAUGGCUAUUGUGCGUGCUGGGGGCAUUCCUUCACUGGUUGAGAUUAUUGAAACAGGAUCUCAUAGGGGAAAGGAAAAUGGUGCUUCUGUAUUGCUGCAAUUGUGCCUUAAUAGUCCCAAGUUCUGUCACCUUGUUUUGCAAGAAGGAGCAGUUCCUCCCCUUGUUGCCUUGUCCCAAUCUGGCACACCAAGAGCAAAGGAAAAGAAAGCAUGGGAGAAGGUACUUUACAUGGGAUGAGAAUGUAAUUCCAUAUUUGCACUGGUUCAGAAAAUGGGCCAUGGCUAUCAUUUUUCCCCUCCUAGAAGGCACAGCAGCUUCUGAGUCAUUUCCGUAAUCAGAGAGAAGCAUCUAUCGGAAAGGGUAAAUCAUGAGAAGAGACCAAUUUUGUUUGAUUGUUUGAUUUUUUAAAAAUAUGUUUGCUCUCCAUCAAGAUGUAUGGGUGCUCUUUUUCCAUAUAUUUUUAGGUGUUUAUAUUUGUUUAUGUUAUAGUCUUGAUUUAUUUCUCAAUAGGAAAUAGUGUGCACAUUAGAUUUUAGUUUUCCCAAAUAUUUGAGUGCAGUCAUUGGGUUUCUUUUGGUUUCUUAGAAUAGAAGAAUGGGUAAUUGCUUGUCCUAAGUAAUGUACAUAUCAUGUAAAUGAUAUAUUAUAUGCAUAAAUGCAUCUGCUAUACAAUAAAAGUAUAAAACAAUGAGUAUUGAUGGUAUUUCACGCAUAAA